UCUUCCGUGGCGCAAUUGGCUAGCGCGUUCGACUGUUAAGUCUAGCAAUAGACUGGCUAUCGAGAGGUUGACAGUUCAAGCCUGUCCGGGAGAG
rnacentral:tRNA from 1 species